rnacentral:sRNA from 1 species
GCUGGGCAUGGUGGCACACGCUUGUAAUCCCAGCACUUGGGAGGCUGAGGCAGGAGGAUUGCUGCAAGUUCAAAACCAGCCUGGGCUACAAAGUGAGCUCAAGGCCAGCCUGAACUGCAUAGCGAGACCCUGUCUCCAAAAGACAAAAACAAAACAAAACAAGAAACAGGGUUUCGCUAUGUGGUUCAGGCUGGCCUUGAACUUACUUUGUAGCCCAGGCUGGCCUCAAACUCGCAGCAAUCCUCCUGCCUCA